AAAUAAAGGCAAUUUUAUUUCCUGCUUCCCAGUCACUUUGCCAAUUAUUUCUGGCUCACAGAAUUGCACUGUCCAUAAUGUAUUUAGCUCUCACAGUACAGAAGAGGCCGCAAGGAAUACUUCACAUACGUCAUCUGAUUUAAUCCUCAGAGACUCCUAAAACAAGCAAACCAAAGCUUGCCCCAACCACAGGGCAGGCGGAAGCAAAGGUAGAAGCUGAACUCCAAUCUAGGGGAGUCCUACCCCUUAACGCAGCUGUGCCGGAGCGGAAUGUUGGAAAGUGCCUUGAGUCCCUGGAUUUUAUUUAGACAGUCAACAAAACCAAACAAGGAAACAAGUCCUGCUGGGCAGCAUUUGCCAGCCUCCAUGGUGUAAAUAUUCCCGCGGGGAUGCUGACCUCAGGCUGCCAGGGGGACUUCCGGGAGCGUCGGGCGAGGAGGAGCAUGGCGGCCGUCCUCAGUGCAUUUCCACCGCACAGGCGCGGGAGUAGAGGCGUGCAGAGGGUAAAACGGGAAGCUUCUUUAGGCCCUUGUCCUCUGUCGUCUACAUCAGACCUGCCUCGUCCCAUCCAAGCCGAUCACCUUCUGAGAGGACCUGGCCCCCGAGCUCAGGAGCACCCCAGCUCUCAGGACACAGCCCCUCGUGGUGGGACAGCGCCUGCACCUGCAGCCCUGUAGCCCCUGCACAAGGAAUUUGUUGAGGGAAUUUGUAUUUUCUGCUGCUUUCUCCUUGAACCUAUUUGCAUUUUAAAUAAUUAAAACAUUAAAGCUGAAAAAUUUAUAAAUGAGAGUGCUAAGAGAAUCCUGCCUGGCAGACGGUAGAGAAAAAAUCAUUGCCCUGUUAGGUUUGCGCCAGUGUCCUGUCUGUCAUUCUCCCCAAGGUGCGUCCACUGCUGUGGCUCGGGCCUCAGGCAGCUCUCUGGUGCACACACACAGUGCAAUGGUGCACACACACACAGCAUCACAGCAGACAAACUCACACGCAUGGCCAAAGAUGCCCCCACCCAGCGUCGUACACAAGCACAUCCUUCCUCCUCCACACCCACCUCUCUCGAGACCCUGCCGUCUACCCCCUGACGCUUCAGGACUCUAUGGAGGAAGACUUUGAUCUCAUUAUUGGAACAACCUAGAUGGAAUCUCAUCGGUCCUCAAUAACCCUGUUUUCCCUUUCCCA
rnacentral:lncRNA from 10 species